AGCAUAUGCAUAAGAAAAUGGACCAAUCACGCGUUUAAUAUAAAGAACGCCAUAUUGCUGCAUAGGACGUAAACAUAGCGUACGCACAUUGUCGAAAAAUUUUUACCACCUAUGUAGCCGCAUAAGCAUAUGCAUAAUAAGGUUAACCAAUCACGUGCUUAAUAUAAAGACUACAAAAUUGCUGCACAACACAUAAGCAGAACAUGUGCAUAUGCAGAAAAAUUUCAUAUUGUUGAUAUAUUAAUUGAUUUCAUCUAUUGAAAAUACUCUCAAGAUGGAUUGUGAAUUAUCCAAUGACAAAGAAAACAUAAAUGAGCAGGAUUGUACAUACGAAUAUUGUGAAGAAGAUGCUGAUGUUGUUCUAAUAGAUCUCGUUAAAAACUUUCCCUUUCUUUAUGAUAAAAGUGCAACAGAUUUGAAAAACGCAAAGAAGAAGGAACGUACAUGGAUGGAAAUUUCUGAAUAUUUAAAGUUACCAAUUACGGAUUGUCAAAAUAGAUGGCAAAGACUUAGAGAAAAAUUUUCUUGCGAAAAGAAAAGAAGAGAACUAGAAAUUGAUUCAUGUCAAGACGGUUCUUGUUGUACAACUGCAGUAGGGUUUGCAUAAUUGCAUACAAAUAUACAGCAAUCUUAGAGCAAUUGAAUAUUUUAAGUGCAAGUGAACAUUUUAAGUCAAAAUGUUAAGUUUCAUUGCAUGGACAAAAGCAUAUAAGACUGAUAAUUUUUUUUUUUUUUUUUUAGUUACUACAUAAUUUUGUCUGCGGAUAAUAUUUAAUUUGUUGUUUUUAUGCUUUAUAAGUUGCUGUGCACUAAAAGACUUAUGUUAAACGUUUUGUUUAUUUGAAGUUUUUUUAGUUUAUUUUCUUUUUAAUUUUAUUUUCUAUUACAAAUAAAAUAAGCAUAAAAUUUUUGUUUGCUUGAAAAUAAACUUUUAUUUAUAACUUUAAGACGUAUUAACGUGUUCUAUGAUAACAAAUAUUAUUUUGUUCAAAUGUAUUAAAAUUUUUACAUUUCAUUAUAAUCAAAACCAAAGUAAAAGUGAUAUUAAUUUAUAUGCAUUGUUGCCACUUGUUUUACAUUAAUUAUAUAUGUAAUUCAGCACAUAGAUAUGUAUAUUUUUGUACUUUUGAUACAGAAAUAAAAAAGUAAAAA